UGUUGCUCAGUGGUUGAGUGCCCCUGAGUUUGAUCCCUAGUACCCCCCUCAAAAUAAAUGGGGGCUGGAGAUGUGACUCAGUAAAACACCCCUUGGUUAAAUUCCUACUACUGAAAAAAGAGAGAGAGACUGUCAGAAUGAGUUUUGAAAAGUUGGCCUUGAUCAUGUGCUAAAUGUAAGGCAUGUUGUAAUAUAAAGACAAAUAUUGAACGUAAGUAGGUGGAGGGAAGCAGCCCAGGUUAGUCAGACCAAAAAGGUCCGUUAACAUUGGAGAGACAGGCUUCAAGACAAGGAGUCUUACCGGAGGUAAAGAAGAACAUUUUGUAAUACCAGAAGGGUCAGUUUAUCGAUGUGGAAGUGCCUCAUGGCAGAGCUUCAAGAUGCAUGACGAAGAGAGAGUUCCAGGGGUUCUUGCUAAAUUGCACAGACUGGCCUCAAACUUGAGAUCAUCCUGCCUCAGCUUCUUGAGGAGUUGGGAUUACAGGUUCGCAACACUCUGCUCAGUGGGAAGCCACAAAAUGAAGAGUGAAAAUAUUGAUAAUGGCACAAGUAAAGAGUAAAAUACAGAAGUAUAAAAUGCUUUCUUCAAUUCAAAAAAGAAAAGGAAAAAAAUCAUAGGACGGAUAAGAGAAAAACAUUGAAAUAGCAUGGGUACACCAAAAUACCUCGCAAAUGACACCGAGGCCAGCUGCCCUGAAUUCACUGAGGCACCACAGGACCGCAUCACGUCACGGCCAGGCGUGUGCGGUCCAAGGCCUGCCCACUGUUGAUCCGACAUUGACCGCUGGGCUGGAGGGACCGUUCUCUUCCUGUCGGUGCUGUGCUCCUUGGAAAGCACUUGCAGGGCAGUCCAGGCUCCUGCCAGAGUGGGUGUGCACCUGUCCUUUCAAGACAGUGUCCAGUCAACUGUUUGGACUUUCUCUGCUUGGGACAUCUGUCUGGUCUCUCCCAUUUAUCUAUUUAUGUAAUAACUUAUUCAGGUCAGUAUGCGUGUUACUCUUUGGAUUGUAACUAACACUGCCUUACUUUACUGCUCAAAUUGCCCCAGGUUUGACCAUUCGAACUCUUUGUGUUGGUUCCCCUUGACAUCUCUUCACCUUUGUUUUUUGGGUACUAUUUUAGAUUCACAGAAAACUGGGGCAGAUGGCCCAUAGAUCUGUGCCCGUCCUCCCACCCCAGCACACCAGCUCCCGCUAGUGUAGUGUAGUUGUCACGAUUAACGAACCAAUGUUUAUGCGGCAUGAUUAACCAACGUCUGCAGCUCGUAUUAUCCGGUGGGCUGGGAGAGGAGGAGCGCAAGGCAAUGCUCCGUUCCCGGAGGUGGGGAGUCCUGCCAUCCUUGGUCCCUGGGCGUGACGCCUAAGCUGAGCAGUUACCCUGGUGCAGAAACCCGAGGGCAGCGAGGCAGAGAGCGACUGGAGCAGGUUAUCACAGGAGGGAAAAGAGGGAAGGUACGGACACCCACCGGAGAGAGGGACGGGCAGGUCAGCUAGGGACCGAAGUGUGCCCAGAUGACUAGGCUUUGGACUCCGGUACCAUGAGGAGGAGUGGUGGCCACAGCUCUUCAGGCCCAGGGUCUGUGCAUGUGUGCUUGGGUCACUUUGCCCUUUGGCCCAGCGCCCCUGGCAGAAGGUCACAUAACGGUCGACUGAGCCUUGAAGCAGCUUGUGGGCUCAUGAAUGGCCUUGGGAACGUGACGUGUGCCCACAAACCUAUGGAGGACUGUGGCAGCCCCCGAGGGAAUGAAGGGGAAAGGGAGCUGGUGGUCGGCUCAGCUGCCAAGGGGUCUGCCUGCCUACCUAAGCUGCCCACCCACUCAGGGGAGCGGGGUGCAUGACCAUGGCUGAGUCCAGGGUCGACUGCUGGUCAGGGACUGCUCUCUUCUUCCUCUCCUGCUGGCUUCUGGCACAAGUAAAGAGUAAAAUACAGAAGUACAAAAAGCUCAUGUGCAGGUGCCGCCUCCUGAGAGAGGAUCCCAUCACCCGGGCAGCUCGGGUAGAUGGCGUCCCACUGUGCUCACAGUUCCUUCCACCCUUGCCUGGGUCUGUUCCUCCUCUCCCUGGUUUGUCUCCUGUUAAAGUUCCCUUUGUCCUGUAUUUGAUGUCACAUCGAACACUGUAGGUGACAAAUGCAUUUGGCCUCAUGCACUUAAUUGGCUAAACUGGAAGCUCUGUGACUGAUCGGUUUUCAAUACACAACUUGACCAACAUCAGGACCUUCUAAGGAUGGACUGACUAAAACUCAUGAACUUUCGAAUUACGAUUAGUUUACAAAUUUAUAUUAACAUUCUUUUUGGAGAUUGUAAUGAUUAAUUAUUCUGAUAUCAGAUCAACAGAUAAAACUUCAUUUGGGUAUUGGAAGACUCAUCUUUAGGA